rnacentral:rRNA from 1 species
UACAGAGGUCCCAAGCGUUGUUCGGAUUCACUGGGCGUAAAGGGUGCGUAGGAGGCUGGGAAAGUCGGAUGUGAAAUCUCACCGCUUAACGGUGAAACUGCAUUCGAUACUACUCGGCUAGAGGAUCGGAGGGGAGAGCAGAAUUCUUGGUGUAGCGGUGAAAUGCGUAGAUAUCAAGAGGAAUACCAGCAGCGUAGGCAGCUCUCUGGAAGAUUCCUGACUCUGAGGCACGAAGGCCCGGGGAGCAAACGGG